CCCUUAGACGUUCUGGGCCGCACGCGCGCUACACUGACGAAGGCAACGAGCUUUCCUUUACCGAAAGGUACGGGUAAUCUUUUGAAACUUCGUCGUGCUGGGGAUAGAUCCUUGCAAUUUUUGAUCUUAAACGAGGAAUGCCUAGUAAGCGCAAGUCAUCAACUUGCGUUGAUUGCGUCCCUGCCCUUUGUACACACCGCCCGUCGCUACUACCGAUUGAAUGGUUUAGUGAGGCCUUCGGAUCCGCGACUCGUUUUGUGGAGAAGUUGGACAAACUCAGUCAUUUAGAGGAAGUAAAAGUCGUAACA
rnacentral:rRNA from 1 species